UUGCAAUGAUGUAUGAAUUUCUUCACCUGACUCAACAGUGAAGAACAAAACGAGCUUUUUAACACUGAGCAAU
rnacentral:snoRNA from 1 species